rnacentral:rRNA from 1 species
GACUACAGGGGUAUCUAAUCCUGUUUGCUCCCCACGCUUUCGCGCCUCAGCGUCAGUUGUCGUCCAGCAGGCCGCCUUCGCCACUGGUGUUCCUCCUAAUAUCUACGCAUUUCACCGCUACACUAGGAAUUCCGCCUGCCUCUCCGAUACUCAAGAACUACAGUUUCAAACGCAGGUUAUGGGUUGAGCCCAUAAUUUUCACGCCUGACUUGCAAUCCCGCCUACGCGCCCUUUACACCCAGUAAAUCCGGACAACGCUUGCCACCUACGUAUUACCGCGGCUGCUGGCACGUAGUUAGCCGUGGCUUGUUUUCGGGGUACCGUCAUUUCUUUCGUCCCCCGUCAAAGAAGUUUACAACCCGAAAGCCUUCUUCCUUCACGCGGCGUUGCUGGGUCAGGCUUGCGCCCAUUGCCCAAUAUUCCCCACUGCAGCCCCCCGUAGG